ACGCACGCUGGCGGCGUGCUUAACACAUGCAAGUCGAACGGAAAGGCUCCAGCUUGCUGGCGUACUCGAGUGGCGAACGGGUGAGUAACACGUGGGUAAUCUGCCCUGCACUCUGGGAUAAGCCUGGGAAACUGGGUCUAAUACUGGAUAUGACCUUUCUCCUUAUGGGGUUUGGUGGAAAGUUUUUCGGUGUAGGAUGAGCCCGCGGCCUAUCAGCUUGUUGGUGGGGUGAUGGCCUACCAAGGCGACGACGGGUAGCCGGCCUGAGAGGGUGAUCGGCCACAUUGGGACUGAGAUACGGCCCAGACUCCUACGGGAGGCAGCAGUGGGGAAUAUUGCACAAUGGGCGGAAGCCUGAUGCAGCGACGCCGCGUGAGGGAUGACGGCCUUCGGGUUGUAAACCUCUUUCAGCAGGGACGAAGCGUAAGUGACGGUACCUGCAGAAGAAGCACCGGCUAACUAUGUG
rnacentral:rRNA from 1 species